rnacentral:lncRNA from 1 species
ACAGGAACAUCCGGCGUGUUUGCUCUGGUCGUCACAGCACCGGUUCCUCGGGCGCGCGCCCUUAGUCCUGGGGCCGCUUCUCCCCCGGACGCGUGCGAAGGCGGACUGGGUUCCGCUGCGGUCUCCACGGGAGCCACCGGUCCUGAAAGCGCGGAGCAUGCUUUGUUUGCGGAAACGAAAGCGAAUACUUCUUUCCAAGGAGACUUAGGAAAGGGCAGACGCUCCCACUGCCUCAGGUGUUCCCUGGAGGACCUUCAAGUGGCCGCCGUGUGGGCGGGCUAGCGUCCCGCUGCUGCGCUGGUUCCGGAGCCCUUCCCUUGCCUCUCCCAGGGUCCUUCUCCCAGCGUCGGAGGAAGGCCCGCAGUCUGCGAGUGGAGUGCGGGUGGUGGGAAUCCCUGGGAGGAUUACGAAAUCCUUAAAGUGGGAUUUACCAAACGCAUUCCUUUCCGCUCACUUCCGUUCCCGCUUAACAAACGUGUUGGAAACGUGUUGCUACUGAAAGGAAGUGGCGCUGGGCUGCAUUUUCUGUGGCUAGUCUGCGAGAAACAGCCCUGGAAUAGGGCCUCUAUUUCUUCCUUGGAGCAUCCCUCCCCGGGACCUGGGAGUUGAAACUCUAGGCUAAAGCAACUGAAGCAGGCCCAGGACUGGGUCUCUGAAAUUCAUGGUGUCUCUACGCUGAGUUAAACUAAGUUUUUCAGAAAAUGUCUAACUAGGCUAAAGACCUUGUGCUUCAGAGUGUUUUGAGAGGAGAGUUUGGGGAAAAGGGCUCUCUCUAGAAGGUAAAUUUGUAUGGGAGAUGGGGAGUGUGUGUUUACACGGAGUAUCGGGCGUCUUUCUUAUGGGUGGACAUUGUGGAUAAGAAUGAGAUAUUAAGGCAGAAUUAGCUGGGCUUUUAAUCCCAAACAGUGUUUUAAAAAUAAAAACUAUAUAUUUAAGGUGUAAAAAAAAAAAAAA